AGUGAACGCUGGCGGCAGGCCUAACACAUGCAAGUCGAGCGGCAGCACAGUAAGAGCUUGCUCUUAUGGGUGGCGAGUGGCGGACGGGUGAGGAAUACAUCGGAAUCUACUCUUUCGUGGGGGAUAACGUAGGGAAACUUACGCUAAUACCGCAUACGACCUACGGGUGAAAGCGGAGGACCUUCGGGCUUCGCGCGAUUGAAUGAGCCGAUGUCGGAUUAGCUAGUUGGCGGGGUAAAGGCCCACCAAGGCGACGAUCCGUAGCUGGUCUGAGAGGAUGAUCAGCCACACUGGAACUGAGACACGGUCCAGACUCCUACGGGAGGCAGCAGUGGGGAAUAUUGGACAAUGGGCGCAAGCCUGAUCCAGCCAUGCCGCGUGGGUGAAGAAGGCCUUCGGGUUGUAAAGCCCUUUUGUUGGGAAAGAAAAGCAGUCGGUUAAUACCCGAUUGUUCUGACGGUACCCAAAGAAUAAGCACCGGCUAACUUCGUGCCAGCCGCCGCCGUAACAC
rnacentral:rRNA from 1 species